UGGGGAAUUUUGGACAAUGGGCGAAAGCCUGAUCCAGCAAUGCCGCGUGUGUGAAGAAGGCCUUCGGGUUGUAAAGCACUUUUGUCCGGAAAGAAAUCCUUGGCUCUAAUACAGUCGGGGGAUGACGGUACCGGAAGAAUAAGCACCGGCUAACUACGUGCCAGCAGCCGCGGUAAUACGUAGGGUGCAAGCGUUAAUCGGAAUUACUGGGCGUAAAGCGUGCGCAGGCGGUUUGCUAAGACCGAUGUGAAAUCCCCGGGCUCAACCUGGGAACUGCAUUGGUGACUGGCAGGCUAGAGUAUGGCAGAGGGGGGUAGAAUUCCACGUGUAGCAGUGAAAUGCGUAGAGAUGUGGAGGAAUACCGAUGGCGAAGGCAGCCCCCUGGGCCAAUACUGACGCUCAUGCACGAAAGCGUGGGGGAGCAAACAGGAUUAGAUACCCUGGUAGUCCACGCCCUAAAACGAUGUCAACUAGUUGUUGGGGAUUCAUUUCCUUAGUAACGUAGCUAACGCGUGAAGUUGACCGCCUGGGGAGUACGGUCGCAAGAUUAAAACUUAAAUGAAUUGACGGGGUCAUA
rnacentral:rRNA from 1 species